rnacentral:tRNA from 1 species
GACCGCGUAGCUCAGUUGGAAGAGCAUAUUGGGCUAGUAUUCCAAAGGUCGUAGGUUCGAAUCCCGCCGUGGCCA